CUUGGGGUUCUUAGGCCCAACCGGCGAAAGUAGACUCGGCCCUAACCAUCUUGACGCUGCAAUUUUUGUUUCUGGAUAUCUGAACUGGGGCCUGAUUCCCUAGAGAGAGUCUGGGGAUGAGUUUCCCGGCCUGAGGCUGGGAAGUGAGUGCUGUGAGUGGGGAAAUAAGCUGAACAUGAAUCCUGGCUCGGUAGUCGCGUUUUCAGUUCUCGCAGACCUGCGGUCUCGGCUUGGAGCGAUCGGGGAGAGGGCGGAGUCCCCCGGCGGAGGUGAAGCGAGUUCUGUGUUCUGGCAGCGUUUCCAGCCUGGAAGAAGAUGCGCUCUGUAAUGCUUUUCUGAAUUGCAUUCGGCGAAAGGAAUAGGGAACUGCGUUUAUUCCUUCACCAGAUUUGAGGGCGUCUUCUGCGUGCCAGGCUGCCUGGUAUUGGGCUUCUUUGGGCCAUUUAUGACUUUCUUCUUUUCUCAUUCCCCCCCCCCCCCCACGAGUAAGUAGAAAUAAGUGAAGACUUAGCUGUGAGCGUCUAGUAUGCAGGUGUAUGCUGAGUGGUAUGAGGGUUCAACAGAUACUCCAAACACUUGAAAAUAAAGAUUGUCCUGUAACAAUUCCAUUACAGGUUAGUGCAGUGGAUCAAACCAGAAGUGAAUCUCUCUGGCCAGAGCAAACCUUACUAGGAAAAAUAACGUAUCUAACUCAGGAAUUGAGCUGAAAAAAUCCUGGGAAAUAAAUACUUCUAAAAUGAAAA